rnacentral:rRNA from 1 species
GACAGAGGAUGCAAGCGUUAUCCGGAAUUACUGGGCGUAAAGCGUGCGUAGGUGGUGAGUUAAGUCUGUCGUGAAAGCCCCGGGCUCAACCUGGGAAUGGCAUUGGAUACUGGCUCGCUAGAGUGCGGUAGAGGGUGGUGGAAUUCCCGGUGUAGCAGUGAAAUGCGUAGAGAUCGGGAGGAACAUCUGUGGCGAAGGCGGCCACCUGGACCAACACUGACACUGAGGCACGAAAGCGUGGGGAGCAAACAGGG